CAGCCGCCACGGGAAUACGAAGGGUGCAAGCGUUAAUCGGAAUUACUGGGCGUAAAGCGUGCGUAGGCGGUGAGUUAAGUCUGCUGUGAAAUCCCCGGGCUCAACCUGGGAAUGGCAGUGGAUACUGGCUCGCUAGAGUGUGUCAGAGGAUGGUGGAAUUCCCGGUGUAGCGGCGAAAUGCGUAGAGAUCGGGAGGAACAUCAGUGGCGAAGGCGGCCAUCUGGGACAACACUGACGCUGAGGUGCGAAAGCGUGGGGAGCAAACAGGAUUAGAUACCCCCGUAGUCCUGUCUCUUAUACA
rnacentral:rRNA from 1 species